UGGGGAAUUUUGGACAAUGGGCGCAAGCCUGAUCCAGCAAUGCCGCGUGCAGGAUGAAGGCCUUCGGGUUGUAAACUGCUUUUGUCAGGGAAGAAACGAGUUUCUCUAAUACAGAGACUUAAUGACGGUACCUGAAGAAUAAGCACCGGCUAACUACGUGCCAGCAGCCGCGGUAAUACGUAGGGUGCAAGCGUUAAUCGGAAUUACUGGGCGUAAAGCGUGCGCAGGCGGUUAUAUAAGACAGAUGUGAAAUCCCCGGGCUCAACCUGGGAACUGCAUUUGUGACUGUAUAGCUAGAGUACGGCAGAGGGGGAUGGAAUUCCGCGUGUAGCAGUGAAAUGCGUAGAUAUGCGGAGAAACACCGAUGGCGAAGGCAAUCCCCUGGGCCUGUACUGACGCUCAUGCACGAAAGCGUGGGGAGCAAACA
rnacentral:rRNA from 1 species